rnacentral:rRNA from 1 species
GAGUUUGAUCGUGGCUCAGAACGAACGCUGGCGGCAUGCCUAACACAUGCAAGUCGAACGAUGGCUUCGGCCAUAGUGGCGCACGGGUGCGUAACGCGUGGGAACCUGCCCUUAGGUUCGGAAUAACUCAGAGAAAUUUGAGCUAAUACCGGAUAAUGUCUUCGGACCAAAGAUUUAUCGCCUUUGGAUGGGCCCGCGUUGGAUUAGCUAGUUGGUGGGGUAAAGGCUCACCAAGGCGACGAUCCAUAGCUGGUCUUAGAGGAUGAUCAGCCACACUGGGACUGAGACACGGCCCAGACUCCUACGGGAGGCAGCAGUGGGGAAUAUUGGACAAUGGGCGCAAGCCUGAUCCAGCCAUGCCGCGUGGAUGAUGAGGGCCUUAGGGUUGUAAAGUCCUUUUAACGGGGAAGAUAAUGACGGUACCCGUAGAAUAAGCCCCGGCUAACUUCGUGCCAGCCGCCGCGGU